CUCCAAUAUCCAUUAUACCACUCUGUAUGCCUUUGCAUAGCUGGGUACAAAUUUUUUUAAAUAUGUUUGAAGACAGUGGAAAUUCAUCAAGGCAGGAGGCUUUGAAGGGCCAACGUCCCAGAAGAAAGGGAAAGCAUGUUGAGGUGAGGCCAACAUUCUGCAUGGUCUGUCCCAUGGGGGAUAUUUAUCGAUUUGUGAGAGGCAGCCAGACUCAGCAGGAGAUAGUGCCUAAGAGGUAGGAGGCUGAGAAGAACUUUCAGUAGUCUACAGUCCUGAGAAAACAAAAAUGGGAAUUUAGGACCUGUUAAGGAGGAAGGACCUGUUAAACACCACAGGAUAUCGUUAGCGUCCCUGAAGAACUAUAUUCUAGGACUAAAGCUGUAUCGGUCAGGGUUUAAUCAGGACACAGAAACCACACAGUCAUUUGAAACAGGAACGUUUAAUAUAAACAAGUAUUGUGCUCACUUUGGCAACACAUAUACUAAAAUGAUACAGAGAAGAAUAGGAUGGCCCCUGCACAAGGAUGACAUGCAAAUUCAUGGAGUGUCUCAUAUUUUUAUUUGCAAAAAUAAAAUAAAGAAGCAUUAACUCCAACAGGGUGUUGGCAUACUAAGGGAUUAGCUAGUAAGAAGAAAUGAGAAUUCCAAAGGACACAGGAACAGCAAAUUUAAGAAAAACCCACUACUCCUAGGGCUGAAAUAGCUGUGAAAUUGGCCAAGCAGAUGCCAAAGCAAGUUAUUCAUGGGGAGGUGCCUUAGCAGUUGCAACAGGCUGAGAAGUCACCCAGAAAUGUGCCAGGGGAAGCUUUUGGCUGCUAGGCACUGCUGACCACUUUGCACUGCCUGAGUGUACACUGAAGAAAUUGCACACGCUGCAGGAGUAAGGCAAAGGAGCAAACCAAAACCAGGAAGAUGGACUUCUUCCUGCUCCAGUGUUCCUCCAGCACCCACUACUGACAGCGCUUAACACUAUGCCAGCUGGCAAAAGAGAGAUACGAUAUUCCCCCUUAUCUGUGGGGAUAUGUUCCAAGACCCCUAGUGGAGACCUGAAACCACAGAUAGCACCAAACUCCAGCCAAAGAACGCCAAAGUUACAUUUUCUUUUCUUUUAUUAGACAGGGUCUCACUCUGCCACCCAGGCUGGAGUGCAGUGGUGGGAUCACAGCUCCUUGUAGCUUUGUUCUCCUGGGCUCAAGCGAUCCUCCCACCUCAGCCUCCCAAGUAGCUGGGACUACAGAUGUACGCCACCACACCCAGCUAACACAUUUUCACUUAAAGCAGCACUUUAUGGUUUCUUGUUGGCAUAUCCAAAUUGUUAGCAACACUACUCUUUGCUUUGGGGCCAUUAUUAAGUAAAAUAAAGAUUACUUGAACACAAGCACUGAGAUACCCGGACAGUCGAUCUGAUUACGAAUACCAACACUAAGUGAAUAACAGGCAGGUAUCGUAGACAGCAUGGAUAAUUCCCUUGAUCGUUCUUUAUACUUAACCUAACUUCCAUCUCUUUCCCUCCCUUCACUACUAAACCUCUUCAUUUUUUAUUUGUUUAUAUUUAUUUUUGCAAAAUCAGAGUCUCCCUAUGUGGCCCAGGCUAGUCUCAAGCUUCUGGGCUCAAGCAAUCCUCC
rnacentral:lncRNA from 1 species